AUUGAACGCUGGCGGCAGGCCUAACACAUGCAAGUCGAGCGGAUGAAGGGAGCUUGCUCCUGGAUUCAGCGGCGGACGGGUGAGUAAUGCCUAGGAAUCUGCCUGGUAGUGGGGGAUAACGUCCGGAAACGGGCGCUAAUACCGCAUACGUCCUGAGGGAGAAAGUGGGGGAUCUUCGGACCUCACGCUAUCAGAUGAGCCUAGGUCGGAUUAGCUAGUUGGUGGGGUAAAGGCCUACCAAGGCGACGAACCGUAACUGGUCUGAGAGGAUGAUCAGUCACACUGGAACUGAGACAUGGUCCAGACUCCUACGGGAGGCAGCAGUGGGGAAUAUUGGACAAUGGGCGAAAGCCUGAUCCAGCCAUGCCGCGUGUGUGAAGAAGGUCUUCGGAUUGUAAAGCACUUUAAGUUGGGAGGAAGGGCAGUAAGUUAAUACCUUGCUGUUUUGACGUUACCAACAGAAUAAGCACCGGCUAACUUCGUG
rnacentral:rRNA from 1 species